rnacentral:rRNA from 1 species
UGGGGAAUAUUGCACAAUGGGCGCAAGCCUGAUGCAGCCAUGCCGCGUGUGUGAAGAAGGCCUUCGGGUUGUAAAGCACUUUCAGCGGGGAGGAAGGCGUUAAGGUUAAUAACCUUUGCUCAUUGACGUUACCCGCAGAAGAAGCACCGGCUAACUCCGUGCCAGCAGCCGCGGUAAUACGGAGGGUGCAAGCGUUAAUCGGAAUUACUGGGCGUAAAGCGCACGCAGGCGGUUUGUUAAGUCAGAUGUGAAAUCCCCGGGCUCAACCUGGGAACUGCAUCUGAUACUGGCAAGCUUGAGUCUCGUAGAGGGGGGUAGAAUUCCAGGUGUAGCGGUGAAAUGCGUAGAGAUCUGGAGGAAUACCGGUGGCGAAGGCGGCCCCCUGGACGAAGACUGACGCUCAGGUGCGAAAGCGUGGGGAGCAAACAGG